UCUUAUGGAUGAGCAAAGAAAGUGGUUUCUUGAGAUGGAAUCUACUCCUGGUGAAAUGAUAACAA
rnacentral:pre_miRNA from 1 species